rnacentral:lncRNA from 1 species
UCUGUGCAAAAUAUAAAAGUGGCCCCUUAAUAAAAAUAAAAAUAAAAAAAUUAUCGAUUUGAAUUGCAUAUAAUAUAAAAAAAAAAUUCUUGUAAACAUAUAAAUUAUCAAUAUUAAAUCUUACAUUAAAUUAAAUGGAACAAGAAAUACAAAAUAAUUAUCUUUGAAUAUAACGUCAAAAGGAACAUCAUAAUCUAAGAUUUAAUUUUAUGCAAAGAUUAAAAUGGACUAGAACUAUAUUUACGAGUAUAGAUAACUAAUAUAUUGAUACUCAUGAUAUUUAUGAACAUUAACAAUAUAUAACUAUUAUUUUA